AACGUAGGAGACAAACGUUAUCCGGAGUUACUGGGCGUAAAGGGCGUGUAGGCGGUUUGUUAAGUUUGGCGUGAAAGCUCUCGGCUAAACCGGGAGAGGUCGUUGGAUACUGGCAAACUAGAGGACGGUAGAGGCGGGUGGAAUUCCGGGUGUAGCGGUGGAAUGCGUAGAGAUCCGGAAGAACACCAGUGGCGAAGGCGGCCCGCUGGGCAGUGGCUGACGCUGAAGCGCGACAGCGUGGGGAGCAAACAGG
rnacentral:rRNA from 1 species